UACGUAGGGACCUAGCGUUGUCCGGAAUCAUUGGGCGUAAAGCGCGCGUAGGCGGCCCGGUAAGUCCGUUGUAAAAGUCGAAGGCUCAACCUUCGAAAGCCGGUGGAUACUGCCGGGCUAGAGUCCGGAAGAGGCGAGUGGAACUCCUGGUGUAGCGGUGGAAUGCGCAGAUAUCAGGAAGAACACCAACGGCGAAGGCAGCUCGCUGGGACGGUACUGACGCUGAGACGCGAAAGCGUGGGGAGCGAACAGG
rnacentral:rRNA from 1 species